GGCUGUUUAGCUUAAUGGUAGAGUACUCAGCCAGUAUCUGAGGGGUACGAGUUCGAGUCCCGUAGCUGUCU
rnacentral:tRNA from 1 species